GGCCCCUUAGCUCAGUUGGUUAGAGCAGUCGACUCAUAAUCGAUUGGUCGCUGGUUCGAGUCCAGCAGGGGCCACCA
rnacentral:tRNA from 1 species